CAGCAGCCGCGGUAAUGCGAAGGGUGCAAGCGUUAAUCGGAAUUACUGGGCGUAAAGCGUGCGUAGGCGGUUUGUUAAGUCUGUUGUGAAAUCCCCGGGCUCAACCUGGGAAUGGCAAUGGAUACUGGCAAGCUGGAGUGUGUCAGAGGAUGGUGGAAUUCCCGGUGUAGCGGUGAAAUGCGUAGAGAUCAGGAGGAACAUCAGUGGCGAAGGCGGCCAUCUGGGACAACACUGACGCUGAGGCACGAAAGCGUGGGGAGCAAACAGGAUUAGAUACCCCGGUAGUCCCUGUCUCUUAUCC
rnacentral:rRNA from 1 species